UCGCCUCUUGCCCCAAACAUAAGAGGUCCAGCCUGCCCAGUGACUAUUGUUCAACGGCCGCGGUAUCCUAACCGUGCGAAGGUAGCGUAAUCACUUGUUCUUUAAAUGAGGACUAGUAUGAAUGGCAUCACGAGGGUUAUACUGUCUCCUCUCUCUAAUCAGUGAAACUAAUCUCCCCGUGAAGAAGCGGGGAUAAAAUUAUAAGACGAGAAGACCCUAUGGAGCUUUAAGUAAAUCUUCAAACGCUUGUACACCCUAACAGUCAUAGACCCUUAAAAUUAACUUUAGCGCCAUGAAGAUGAACUUUAGGUUGGGGUGACCACGGAGUACAAAAAAACCUCUACGCUGAACAAGCCUCAAAGCCUUGAGUAAAGGACCACAACCCGACACACUAAUAAACUAACACCCAUUGACCCAAUAAUCCUUUGAUCAACGAACCAA
rnacentral:rRNA from 1 species